rnacentral:rRNA from 1 species
UACAGAGGUCUCAAGCGUUGUUCGGAUUCAUUGGGCGUAAAGGGUGCGUAGGUGGCGCUGUAAGUCAGGUGUGAAAUUUCGGAGCUUAACUCCGAAACUGCAUUUGAUACUGCGGUGCUUGAGGACUGGAGAGGAGACUGGAAUUUACGGUGUAGCAGUGAAAUGCGUAGAGAUCGUAAGGAAGACCAGUGGCGAAGGCGGGUCUCUGGGCCGUUACUGACGCUGGAGGAGCGAAAGCGUGGGGAGCAAACAGGA